CUCCUUUUCUGCAGCUUUAUAAGCUGCCUACAGGGUACGGAGCGUUCCAAGGUAAGAGGAGAACAGAUGCUUUGCUGACCUGAGCUUGUUGAGCAGCCUCAGAGGUUGAAGGCAGACCCUAGCAGGGCCUGGUAACUCGGGUUUUAAAUCCUGUAGGGAUUUCAGCCUCCUUUUUGGCUGCAAGAUUUGGCUCUUUCAGCAAAGAGGACUGUGUGCAAUUGAUGCCCUGGGAGCCUCAAGCACAGAAUGGAAUUUUAGCAUCUAUUGCAGAGCUUGACAUUUCUCUGUAUUUCCUGUGUUGCUUCCCAGCCUGUGACCUAAAUUAUGAGCAGAAGAUAUUAAGCCUGGAUUUUAACUUAAGAGCUGACUACACCCACAGGACAAAUUAAAACACUGUGUUGUUUUUCCACUGAAGCUGGAAUUCCUUCACCACAAAUUCUGUUGGAUUUUGUGUGUUCUGGCAUGAAUAUUGGAGUGCCCAACCACUUAUCUGCGCUGGGUUUGCAGCUCCCUGCCUGCCACCAGUGCUGACUUCUGUCUUGCGUCGCAGCUUUGCUUUGCUGCCCUUCUCACAAAUGCCAGGAGCUGAUCUGUGGAGCGGCUGGGAUUUCUCCAUCACAAAUAUUGCCUGUUCAGAAGGAAGAGAGCCACUCCUGAGUUGUGAUCUUGAGAUUUUCUCAUAAUUGUGUGCCAAAAUGGAGGUAAAUUCCAUACCUUCCCAGCGAAAGGAGGACCAGGACUGUUUGUAGAGGAAAUAAGACCACUGUCAGAUGUUUCACGUGCAGCUGGCCUGUUUCCAUCCUGAAGGUCACUCCAGAGUAAAAUCUGCCCAGAUGUGAGCUGUUCAACCCCUCCUGUCCUGGUGAGCAUUUCAGCAUCCUUUGGGUCUCUCACUGGAAGACAGCAACUGUAGACCUGCAGGUUUGUGCCCCACUUUUUGUUUCCCAGCCACAGCUGUUUCACUGGGUUAGCUCUGACCAACUUUAGCUGUACAUCACCCAUUUCCAUUCCUAAGUGACAUACUGCUCAUUUGAAUAACAUCUCAAGGACUUAGAGAACAGAAAAAAAAUGGUUUUAUGGAGCAAUUCUUUAGACCAGAGUAUGUACAUUUGCUUGAGCCAAAACAUACUUUUGAUGUCUUAAAUUAAUGCAAAAACCUGGAAUGUUUUCCUUUUCCUUCUCAGCCUUACCAACUGGGGAACUCUGGGACAGAGUGCAAUGAAAUAUAUAAAAAUUAUGGCCUUUAAAGCUGCCUAACUCUUUCUCUUUAUUCGGUACUAUUAAUACUAUUUAUAGUCGCUUUCCUUGUUUCCUUUAAAGUUUGAUCUCUUUAAAGUUUGAUCCCUUCUUCUUAAAUCACAUCAGAAUUUCCUACGUCCUUUUCUCACCGCUGCCAGAAAGCAUUGCCUUUUUCUGGUCUUUCUGGGCCCACUUCUCAUUCUUGCUUCCACUUCAACAACUAUUCAUACUUUCUUAGAUCAUCGAGAUCUUUGUUGCAUCUGAGCAGAAAUGGAGCUUCAGCUUUGACAGGUGUCUUUUUAGCUCAGCACUGACAUCUUUUCUUAGGCUGCAACUUCCUGCAGGAUCUAUUUGAGAAGUUUCCGAGCGCAUAAAUUACGUUGGCACGCACAAAGAAGAACAGCAGAAAUGUUAAUUACUGCCACUUUCCAGUUACUGAGUCUCUCCUUAAUGGGCUGAGGAAGUUUUGUCUGGUGUGCUUUUUGCUUUUUUUUUGUUUGUUUCCUCCAGAUAAAUUAUCAAAUGACUUUAACAUUUGGCGAUGGUGCGCUCAGAAUAACGAGGGCUUGUUUUUCAUGUUGUUGCUCCUCAUGUAGAUCCUUUUUCUGAAGGCACGCUAAGGGAGCUGACAAAAAAUGCAAUAUGAUUUAUAAACCCAAAAUACUUUCUGCCAUGCUUAAAGAUGUUUUUGCCAAAAGCGCUGUUCUUGUCAUUUCCCAUAAAAAGCAUGAAGGUGGUGGUGUUGGGAGAUGGGGAGGGGACGUGUGCGGAUCACCCUCUAGGUGCCACGUGCUGCCAUCCAUGGGCGGCGGUGACGUUUGGCGCAGGUUUCGCAUCGCUGCACAAUUUGAUGUCAUCGUCAGAUCUGCCCUGUGCUGGGAAAUGGGACCCGUCAGUGCCGGGUAAGGAAACUCACGCUGUCUCUACCCACAUCAUCUCUGUGUACUUCAACCAGGAAAAG
ensembl:lncRNA